rnacentral:rRNA from 1 species
UGGGGAAUAUUGCACAAUGGGGGAAACCCUGAUGCAGCGACGCCGCGUGAGCGAUGAAGGCUUUCGAGUCGUAAAGCUCUGUCCUAGGGGAAGAUAAUGACGGUACCAUAGAAGAAAGCCCCGGCUAAUUACGUGCCAGCAGCCGCGGUAAUACGUAAGGGGCGAGCGUUGUCCGGAAUUAUUGGGCGUAAAGAGUGCGUAGGCGGCAAAUUAAGUCAGAUGUGAAAACUAAGGGCUCAACCCAUAGAUUGCAUCUGAAACUGAUAUGCUUGAGUCAAGGAGAGGAAAGUGGAAUUCCUAGUGUAGCGGUGGAAUGCGUAGAUAUUAGGGGGAAUACCGGUGGCGAAAGCGGCUUUUUGGCCUGCAACUGACACUGAGGCGCGAAAGCGUGGGGAGCAAACAGG